rnacentral:rRNA from 1 species
UACGUAGGGUGCAAGCGUUGUCCGGAAUUAUUGGGCGUAAAGAGCUCGUAGGUGGCCUGUCGCGUCGGCUGUGAAAACUCGGGGCUCAACUCCGAGCUUGCAGUCGAUACGGGCAGACUAGAGUUCGGUAGGGGAGUCUGGAAUUCCUGGUGUAGCGGUGAAAUGCGCAGAUAUCAGGAGGAACACCGGUGGCGAAGGCGGGACUCUGGGCCGAUACUGACGCUGAGGAGCGAAAGCGUGGGGAGCAAACAGG